CAAUAACUUAGGAGGAGAUUACUUGACCUAGUAAGUAGCCACCUUGAUAAAUAAACUAGAGUUGCCCUUCCCCCUAUUUUGCCUCCACUUACAGUUCAACAUGCCCGACCUAACCAACACUGUCAGCAUUAUGGUCACUCGCAUGAUGACUUACCCUGUUAAUGUAUCAAUAAUGCCUGAUAUCGGUGCGGAAGCACCAACACCUU
rnacentral:lncRNA from 1 species